GGCAGGCCUAACACAUACAAGUCGAACGGUAACAGGAAGCAGCUUGCUGCUUUGCUGACGAGUGGCGGACGGGUGAGUAAUGUCUGGGAAACUGCCUGAUGGAGGGGGAUAACUACUGGAAACGGUAGCUAAUACCGCAUAACGUCGCAAGACCAAAGAGGGGGACCUUCGGGCCUCUUGCCAUCGGAUGUGCCCAGAUGGGAUUAGCUAGUAGGUGGGGUAACGGCUCACCUAGGCGACGAUCCCUAGCUGGUCUGAGAGGAUGACCAGCCACACUGGAACUGAGACACGGUCCAGACUCCUACGGGAGGCAGCAGUGGGGAAUAUUGCACAAUGGGCGCAAGCCUGAUGCAGCCAUGCCGCGUGUAUGAAGAAGGCCUUCGGGUUGUAAAGUACUUUCAGCGGGGAGGAAGGCGAUAAGGUUAAUAACCUUGUCGAUUGACGUUACCCGCAGAAGAAGCACCGGCUAACUCCGUGCCAGCACCGUAAUACGGAGGGUGCAAGCGUUAAUCGGAAUACUGGGCUAAAGCGAGCAGCGGUCUGUCAAGUCGGAUGUGAAAUCCCCGGGCUCAACCUGGGAACUGCAUUUGAAACUGGCAGGCUAGAGUCUUGUAGAGGGGGGUAGAAUUCCAGGUGUAGCGGUGAAAUGCGUAGAGACUGGAGGAAUACCGGUGGCGAAGGCGGCCCCCUGGACAAAGACUGACGCUCAGGUGCGAAAGCGUGGGGAGCAAACAGGAUUAGAUACCCUGGUAGUCCACGCCGUAAACGAUGUCGACUUGGAGGUUGUGCCCUUGAGGCGUGGCUUCCGGAGCUAACGCGUUAAGUCGACCGCCUGGGGAGUACGGCCGCAAGGUUAAAACUCAAAUGAAUUGACGGGGGCCCGCACAAGCGGUGGAGCAUGUGGUUUAAUUCGAUGCAACGCGAAGAACCUUACCUACUCUUGACAUCCAGAGAACUUAGCAGAGAUGUUUGGUGCCUUCGGGAACUCUGAGACAGUGCUGCAUGGCUGUCGCCACCUUGUGUUGCGGAAAGUUGGGUUG
rnacentral:rRNA from 1 species